GCUGAGCUGGAUGUUUAAAGGAAAUAUUCCCUCCACCCAUCAUGCUACUGAUGCCACUUGGAGUAAGUGGAUUGUGCUGAUUACACAAUAAGCUUAGAUGGGGAAUCUCAGUCAUCCAGGAGUUCUUAGAAGUCAUGGACUGGCCUAAAGGUAAAAAGUUUGGAACAUCAGCAGUAGAAGAGGUGUCACAUGCUGAAGAGGCCUCACCAUACAAUGAACUACCAGAGAAUGAAAAGAAAUAUGCCCUGUACACAGAAUGGAUCGUGUCAUACUGUGGGGAAGCAUCACAGAUGGAAAUCUGCUGUGUGGAGCGUCACACGACGAGUUGCAAAGACCACUGAAGGGAAAGGAGCAUCAAGCCAAUUUGCGGAGCAUCAUGUGAAGCACAGGAAUUAGAGAGUUAGUACUCCAGUUCUGUGGACUGACAACUUUCUGGAUACCCAGCUCUCAGAAGAGAAGAAUACUCACCCCAGAGAACUCUGCUUUCUGCAUUCAGUCUUUUUAAAAAGUCUGCAUGACCAUUGGAGCUGAAAAGACAAGAAAAUAUCUGCUUCUGGUUUUCCACAAGAUCUGCCCUGCCCAGGAUUUGGAGAUCUUUUAUAUUAUCUUGGUGAAGGAAAACAGCAAGAUUGGACUCCAUUAGAUGGAUAAUGAGGUGUUGCACUGUGAAAUCACUUCUGAAAAAUUUAAAGGAUGAAAACAUUUCAGAAGCCGUAGCUUUUUGUUUAGUGACAAUUUGCUCAUGGAAAAAGAUUCAGAAUAUCAAAUUUUACAGCUGCCAUUCAAGCACAGGAAAGGAUGUCAUCAGUCCAAGAUACUGCCCCACACAGCCCUGCAUCGGAUGCCAGAGGAAGCGCGACCUCCGCUGCUGCUGUCUGACAGCAGUGCAGUGUUCCCCUCCAUGGCUGCAAUGUGUCAUCAGCACGUUAUUUUCCUAGUUACUCAGUUCAGCAGGAAGGAUCUUCUGCAAAGGAGAGGUGUUCCUUGGGCUGGGUGACAAGAACUAAACCUUCCUGGGACAGCUUGUCCUCCCAUGCUUUAGUCAGGGAGUGUAACAGCAGGGAGACCAGCGCAAUGGGAAAACGUUACAAAACAAAGAAGAGAAAUGCUCACCCGUCUCCAAGGAUCUGGGCUCACAGUUAGAAACUCCACAGAGAAGGGAUCACCAACAAGAAACCCUUCCAGAGUGGCAGUCAGCCCUUAAAUGAGGUCUUAAGAGAGGUGAAGCCAAGCUACACCCUUCCCAGUCACUCAGGGAUGGGCAAGUUCUGCAUUAAAAAAAUGCAUUGCAAGAUGUGUUCUGUCCAUUGUAAAAACUUAUAGCCAGUUCCAAGCAAAUAGAGGUGUGUAUCUACUGUGAACAUUACAGUCGGCACAGACCUGUGUUUAGUUAACCUCAAAGAGUACAAUAACAAUUCCCACUUUUGUGGUGUGAGGAUUGGGGCUAGGCAGCACCACCAUUAGAAGUGAGGGAUCCUCAUCACCGUAUCACCCUGCGCAUAUCUCCUGCCUGGAUGGUGGACCAAUGAAUAGAACUCGGUUGAAAAUCAGUCGUUGCAGAACACGGUUUUAAAGCACCUUUGGUUGGAAGGAUACAGUGGAAGAAAAAUGUGACUCUAAGAGGACAGCCUUCGGGAAGGGAUGAAGAGAGAAAUCAUGUAGACCAGCUGCAGCUGCUACCACUGGUCUCUCCAGCUGGUUAACGCAUAAGGAUUUUAAUCAUGGGCCUCAGGACAGAAUCACAGACAAUUUUGUUCCAGGAAAAUACAUCUGACAUGUGAGAAUGGAUGCCAUAGGUGGAGAGAAUGAAAAAGGAAGAAAUAUCAUCAUAGGAAUGCCAAGGUGGUUGUUUUCAUCAAGGAGAUUAACUUGAGCCACGGUGAAAGCAGUCUGGAAGUCAUUAAUGUGCGAUGUUACCAACAGUAUUUGAUGCUGUAAAGGAGUAAUCGCAGUCGUACAUGUGAUCAACACGCAGGGAACAACGUCUGCCUAAAGCACCGUCCUGCUCAUCCAAACACCCACAGAGGCUGUGUGCCACCAUCGCAAACCCUGUCCCCAACCCCAAUAUUAUCCCCAAACAAUUCCUCACCAAUGCCACCUGCUAAGCCCUGGGUGUGGGCCAUGGCUGCACCUUUGACCACCUUCAGCAUGAUUUCUCAGGCUUCUGCCUCUACAUUUUGACUGAACACUGCUUCAGAAACAAGAGCCCCAGAUUCUUCUGUGUCCGCAUCCAGGGCAGCCCUGGCAGUGUCAUUGGUGCCAAAGUCCAUGUCUUCCACAUGGUGAAGGAGCUGGAGCCUGGGCGGGUGCUGAAGCUGACACGAGCCUUCCUCUGAACAGCGGCCCUGCAGAAAGUCUGGAGAGCCAGACAGAGGUUGAGAAGGCAGCAGAGAGAGGUGACAUCCCAUCUUCCUCCCAUGGCCC